GGCUUCCAGGCACCCUGACUGGCCACCUGGGAACGUGGCCUGCAUUCCUAGAGAGCGAGCCUGGAAUAGAUGCCCUGAGAGCAUCUGCCACCAUAAAAGCAAGGAAGGAAGCUGCCUAAGGGCUGGGUUCUUCGACCUGCACCCUUGUGUCAUCACCUGGCCUCCUGACAGCCCUGCAUGGCGGAUAAGCUCAGCCUGCCUCACAGACGAGGAGCCCAAGCUUUGGGGCCAAUCUUGCCAUUGGCCCAAGUGUCUGGGUGCCAGGAAGGCCUCAGAACCUGAUGAUGGAAGGCCUCAGAGGGCACAGAGCCUGGUAUCAGCUGCUCAGAAAGAGUUAGCAGCUCCUACUGUCUGUGAAAAAGCUCCAGUAAGAAACACCUAUUAGAGCAUCACCUCAGAUGGAAUCAGCUUCUGCUCUCAAGCUGCCAAUCCCAGCUUCCGGACGAAAAGAGGACAGCCCCUCAGAACUCGUGAGGCCUGUCACUCACCCCUUCAGUUGUAGGGACCCC
rnacentral:lncRNA from 1 species